rnacentral:hammerhead_ribozyme from 1 species
AUUCAGCUGACGAGUCCCAAACAGUACGAAAUGUGCGUCUUAUAU